GUUUGACUCCUCUCUGAUGAAAUCCCAGAGCAACCUCUGCGGCUGGUGACACAUUGUGCUACUUCCCUGCUGUGAUUAUGACAUUUAUGGGCACAAACUUGAAGUUUUCCGAGCAGAUGAGCAUUCAGCCUGCAACACAUUUAACAAUACAUAGCACAGCUAAAUUCCUUCAUGUUUAUGGUCCCCCCCUAUGACCCAAAUACGUCGUCUUUGUUAUCGUGGCUAUAAACCAGACUAUAAAAAGCAAAAACUGGGUUUAUAGGUG